GUAUAAACCCGGCGUAGGGGUCAACCAUAAUCAAUAAUGUGGUUAACCCCCAGGAUAUUGGUUUUCCAAUGUACUUUGGACUGGCCGACUCCUGCGAUUAUCUACAACUUAGAAAUCGGGCGCACAAUUUUGGAAGAGUCGGGACUGCGUAUUACCAGUCCCGCU